CGUGUAGGCGGUCAGGUAAGUGGAAUGUGAAAUGCCCCGGCUCACCCGGGGACCGGCAUCCCAAACUGCCUGGCUUGAGUAUGGGAGAGGAUGGAGGAAUUCCUGGUGUAGCGGUGAAAAUGCGUAGAUAUCAGGAGGAACACCGGUGGCGAAGGCGUCCAUCUGGCCCAAUACUGACGCUGAGGCGCGAAAGCUAGGGGAGCAAACG
rnacentral:rRNA from 1 species